AGUGUGGCUGCAAUUUGACAGUAUUGGCCUCCGGGAGCUAUCCCACAGUGCACUAUUGUGACCACUCUGGACAGCAAUCUGAACUUGGAUGCACUGGCCAGGUAAACAGGAAAAACCCCAUGAACUUUUGAAUUUCAUUUUCUGUUUGCCCAGAGUGGAGAGCUGAUCAGCACAGGUGACCAUGCAGAACUCAUCAGCUUAUCAUCUGGGCAGUGCAGCCUUAUUCCGUUCUCCAUGCUGCAAAUUUUUCAAGCCUUUCUCCUCCAUCCCAAAGGCUAUCUCAGAUAAGGCGGUGGAAAAGAAACAGAUGCGAGACUAAAUGUUCUCUGAAAUCAUGGAACUGACCUGCAAUGAAAGAGCUCAUCUGAAUGAGUGGAAGGACACAGUAUCACAGUACAGGAAAGAUGCCAGUGAACGUGAGGACAUGAGGUACCAACGUGAGGAGAGGAGAGACACUGGAGAUGAAAGGUGGUGGCAAAAAGUUCAGAGGAGGCAGGAUGCAAUGCUGGGGCUGCUGCAUGAGCAGGCAGACAUGCUCUGGCGUCUGGUGGAGCUUCAGGAAUGGCACCAGGAUCACAGGGUGCCACUGCAACCUCUAUAUAACCACACUUCUCCCUCACCAUGUUCCAUAGCCUCCUCACCCAGACGUGUAAGAACGCAGGGAGGGGAGACUCCAUGCGCCCUCCCAUUCCACCCCAGUGGACAGCCCAAGCAAAAGGUUGUUAUGUUGAAAUUUAUUAGUGGCCUUUUCCUUCCCUCCUAUCCUCCUCCCAAACCCCACCUGGGCUACCUUGUCAGUUCUCUCCCUCUUUUUAUAAUCAAUUAAUAAAGAAUACAUGAUUUUUAAA